UAUCAAGGUGCCUGAACCACGUGACUUUUUCGGCUAUGUGUGGGACAAUCGGAUGUAAACAAAACGUCGCUUCAGACUUGAAAAGGAUUAGUCGAAAGAUCUGUUACGCUUUUAAGGUUCGAAGCUGUGUAAGAACUACAUGAACACCAUCAAACCACACGGAAGGUGAUAUGUGGCAAGUUAAUUAUCAAAACCACAGUGACAGAGACAGGGACCCCGCUUCAUUCUGUGAUGUUUAUGGAAAGCUAUUUCAACUAACUAUGCAAACAUACCAUUUAACAUGUAUUUUUGCAUAAGCAAAACAAAGUGUGUGUAUUGAUAUGUGUGUAUAUUUAUGGGUUUUGUAUCUAU